CGUAGGGGGCUAGCGUUAUCCGGAUUUACUGGGCGUAAAGGGUGCGUAGGCGGUCUUUCAAGUCAGGAGUGAAAGGCUACGGCUCAACCGUAGGAAGCUCUUGAAACUGGGAGACUUGAGUGCAGGAGAGGAGAGUGGAAUUCCUAGUGUAGCGGUGAAAUGCGUAGAUAUUAGGAGGAACACCAGUUGCGAAGGCGGCUCUCUG
rnacentral:rRNA from 1 species